rnacentral:rRNA from 1 species
UGGGGAAUUUUGGACAAUGGGCGCAAGCCUGAUCCAGCCAUGCCGCGUGCGGGAAGAAGGCCUUCGGGUUGUAAACCGCUUUUGUCAGGGAAGAAAUCUUCUGAGUUAAUACCUCGGGAGGAUGACGGUACCUGAAGAAUAAGCACCGGCUAACUACGUGCCAGCAGCCGCGGUAAUACGUAGGGUGCAAGCGUUAAUCGGAAUUACUGGGCGUAAAGCGUGCGCAGGCGGUUUUGUAAGACAGAGGUGAAAUCCCCGGGCUCAACCUGGGAACUGCCUUUGUGACUGCAAGGCUUGAGUGCGGCAGAGGGGGAUGGAAUUCCGCGUGUAGCAGUGAAAUGCGUAGAUAUGCGGAGGAACACCGAUGGCGAAGGCAAUCCCCUGGGCCUGCACUGACGCUCAUGCACGAAAGCGUGGGGAGCAAACAGGGUUAGAUACCCUGGUAGUCCACGCCCUAAACGAUGUCAACUGGUUGUUGGGAAGGUUCCUUCUCAGUAACGUAGCUAACGCGUGAAGUUGACCGCCUGGGGAGUACGGCCGCAAGGUUGAAACUUAAAUGAAUUGACGGGGUCAUAGCUGUUUCCU